UGGGGAAUUUUGGACAAUGGGCGAAAGCCUGAUCCAGCAAUGCCGCGUGUGUGAAGAAGGCCUUCGGGUUGUAAAGCACUUUUGUCCGGAAAGAAAUCCUUGGCUCUAAUACAGUCGGGGGAUGACGGUACCGGAAGAAUAAGCACCGGCUAACUACGUGCCAGCAGCCGCGGUAAUACGUAGGGUGCAAGCGUUAAUCGGAAUUACUGGGCGUAAAGCGUGCGCAGGCGGUUUGCUAAGACCGAUGUGAAAUCCCCGGGCUCAACCUGGGAACUGCAUUGGUGACUGGCAGGCUAGAGUAUGGCAGAGGGGGGUAGAAUUCCACGUGUAGCAGUGAAAUGCGUAGAGAUGUGGAGGAAUACCGAUGGCGAAGGCAGCCCCCUGGGCCAAAUACUGACGCUCAUGCACGAAAGCGUGGGGAGCAAAACAGGAUUAGAUACCCUGGUAGUCCACGCCCUAAAACGAUGUCAACUAGUUGUUGGGGAUUCAUUUCCUUAGUAACGUAGCUAAACGCGUGAAGUUGACCGCCUGGGGAGUACGGUCGCAAGAUUAAAACUCAAAGGAAUUGACGGGGUCAUAGCUGUUUCC
rnacentral:rRNA from 1 species